rnacentral:rRNA from 1 species
AUUGAACGCUGGCGGCAUGCCUUACACAUGCAAGUCGAACGGUAACAGGUCUUCGGAUGCUGACGAGUGGCGAACGGGUGAGUAAUACAUCGGAACGUGCCCGAUCGUGGGGGAUAACGAGGCGAAAGCUUUGCUAAUACCGCAUACGAUCUACGGAUGAAAGCGGGGGAUCUUCGGACCUCGCGCGGCCGGAGCGGCCGAUGGCAGAUUAGGUAGUUGGUGGGAUAAAAGCUUACCAAGCCGACGAUCUGUAGCUGGUCUGAGAGGAUGAUCAGCCACACUGGGACUGAGACACGGCCCAGACUCCUACGGGAGGCAGCAGUGGGGAAUUUUGGACAAAGGGCGAAAGCCUGAUCCAGCCAUGCCGCGUGCAGGAUGAAGGCCUUCGGGUUGUAAACUGCUUUUGUACGGAACGAAAAGCCUCUUUCUAAUAAAGAGGGGUCAUGACGGUACCGUAAGAAUAAGCACCGGCUAACUACGUG